GGCUGCUUUUCUCUGCCUCCUCCCUGUUUAUAUAUGUGUGUGUGUGUGUGUGUGUGUGUGUGUGUAUACAUACAUUUAAAAGAAUAUAUACAAAAAACCUAAUUUAAAAAUUGGACAAAGGACUUAAAUAGCUAUUUCUCCAAAAAAGAUAUACAAAUGACCAAUAAGCACAUUAAACGAUGCUUAACAUCACUAACCAUUAGGGAAAUGCAAAUCAAAGAUAUCACAAUGAGAUGCCACUUCACACCCACUAGGAGAGCUAUUUUUAAAAAAAGAAAAAGAAAAAAAAUAGAAAAGUAUUGUUGAAGAUGUAGAGAAACUGGAAACUUUAUACACUGAUGGUUUAGCCACUAUGGAAAAUAGUGUGAUACUUCCUCAAAAAAUUAAACAGAAUUACCACAUGAUCCAACAAUUCCAUUUCUGAGUAUAUACCCCAAAGAAUUGGAAACAGAGACUUGAACAGCUGUUUGCAUACCCAUGUUCAUAGCAACACUAUUUACAAUAGCUAAGGAGAGGAAGCAACCCAAAUGUCCAUUGAUGGGUGAAUGGAUAAACAAAAUGUGGUAUAUACAUACAAUGGAAUAUUAUUCAGCCUUGAAAAGGAAGAAAAUUCUGACCCAUGCUACAGUAUGGUUGAACCUAUAAGACAUUAUGCUAAGUGAUCUAAGGCAGCCAUAAUACUGUAUGAUUCCACUUAUAUGAGGUACCUAGGGUAGUCAAAGUCACAGAGAAAGAGGGUAGAAGGGUGGUUGCCUGGGGCUGAGGGGAGGUGAGAGUGGGAAGCUAGUGUUAAAUGGGUACAGAGUUUCAAUCUGGGAAGAGGAAGAAGAUCAAGAGACAGAUAGUGGUGAUGGUUGUACAGCAAUGUGAAUAUACUUAAUGCCAUAAAACUGUACAUGUUAAAGAGGUAAAUUUUAUGUGUCUUAACACAAUAAAAACUUUCAGAUAAAUAUAUAUUUAUAUAUAUAUAUAUGUACAGGAGUUCUUUUGUAUACACAGAUGUUUUGUAUAUGUAGAUGUACAGGGAUUUUGUUUUUGCUCUUGAUCGCUUACUUUUGCUAGAAGAAUUAUGCUACACACAUAUUCCUUAUGUAACAAACACCAAACCUCAAUGGUAUAGAGCGACCAUUUAAUUAUGCUUCAAAUUAAGGAUUCUGUGGAUCAGGGAUUUGACUUGGGCAGAGAAGGGACAGCUGUCUCUUCUCCGUGGUGUCUGAGGCCUCCUCCAGGAAGACUCAAAGGCUGGAGCAAGAAUCAUCUGGAGGCUUCUUCACUUGACUGUCCUGCAGUUGCCGUUGGAUCCUCACUUGGGCUGUUGACCAGAACGUCCACAUGUGGGCUCUCCACCUGGGCUGCUCCGUUGAGCUUCCUCAUAGCAUGGCAGCUGAAUUCCAAGGGCAGCAUUCCAAGAGAGCAGAGCAGAGUACAUGGCUUUUUACAGGGUAGCCCCAAAAGUCACAUUGCAUCGUUCGAUAUACUCAGUUGGUUGAUGGAAGGGAGAUGCCAUUGUGCCCUCUUUGGAAAAUACAACCUGCCAUAGCACACUGAUUCGUCUUCUACCUGCUUUUACAAUAUCUCAUUGACAAUCCCUAAAAGUCAGGAAAGAUGUAAUUUUUCAAUUUUUCUCAUUUCUUUAUAAUGACAAAAUUACUUUGAAUUCUAAAAGUAAUAUAAGUAUAGGAACAAAACUUGGAAAACAUAAAAAUCUAUUCACAAUUCCCCCCCUUCAACCAAUCAUGGUAAUCACUUUUAGACUUUUUAUUCCAUGAUUUCCUCAUAAUGUUCAUAGAGUUUAUGUUUGUUUUUUAAAAUUUCCCCUUAGCACAUAAGCACCCAAAUUCACAUCUCAACAUUAAGUUAUCUUCUUUAUUUUUCGUGUGCGGACAAAGCAAAAAUAAGAGUAGGGUACACCACGGGAUAAGGUCUUCAGGCAGGAACUUGCUUAGCCUAAUCCUACUGACAACUACUAGGGAAAAUCACAUCAAGGCUUCAAGUCUUCCAUCUUCUUUCUAAGGAGCAUAAAGCAGGGACAUAACACACUAACUCCGGAAAAGUCAUGUCAUGAGUGAGCUGUGCCUUCCGCCACGCUUGUGUAAGGAGCAGGUGACUGACCUCGGUGUGGAAUACCAGCUGGUGACCUUUCACUGUUUUCUGCUACAAAGGCUUGGCUUUGGGGUUUCAACAAAAUACGUGGAUCUAGCAAGUAAAGUUGGGCAGAGCCUGUGUCUCCCAAACUCAACUCCAAACUAUCGCUGGUUUUCAUUGGCCUGCUGUGAAAUGAGAAAAAUAACAACAGUGGGGUGAGUUUUUCAUGAAGCUAAAUGGAUUCAAUUUUUAAAAGCUGGGCUUUAUUCAGAGAUCAUUCCUCUUUUAAAAAUGUCAAUAUGGGAAUUCCCUGGUGGUCCAGUGGUUAGGACUUGGCAUUUUCACUGCCGUGGCCCAGGUUCAAUCCCUGAUCAGGGAACUAAGAUCUCACAAGCCACACAGCCAAAAUAAAGGAAUAAAUAAAUAAAAUAAAAAUAAAAAUGUCAAUAUUUUAUAACAUAAUUCUGAACAUAGAUUUUCUUAGCAUUCCUAAUUAGCAAAGUAAAAAGUUGGCAAAUCUAAACUUAGUUUCAAUCAUCUGACUGAUCUGUGACAUCCCAAAUUCUGAGAAACACUGAUCCAGUCUCCUUAUGAAGAGCCUUUGGGUUUGAUGUACAUUAUUUGUCAAAAGGGAUUAUACUCUGAGGCUGGAGGAAAAAACUGCUUGGCAUGGGAAGAGAAUGCAAAAGUCUGGGCUCUGCUUGUGAUGGUCCAGUUGUGUGGCCUUGAGCACGUCAUUUAUGCUCAGAGCCUCUUCAGCCAUCAAAUCCAGUCCACAACGCUGGCCUUCUCCUCCACAGAGCAAGCGGGGGUGAAAGGCUUAAUUGUGGAAAGUGUAGAGAGCUGUGUAAGCGCUGAGUGUCUUAUUGCUGCAUCCUCGGAGCUUUCCCUCACAAAGCUGCUCAGUGGGUCCUGUAAUAGCUGGUGAAAUACGUGAGGAGGGACAUCCCAAGUAUUUCCCUGGGAGUUCCUAAUUUUAAUGAGAAGAAUGUUCUCUAAUUAAAACGGCGCCGCAGAAAUUUUUUUUAAACAAAUUGCCAUCUAAUUUCCCUUUGAUCUGUUUGUUCCACUUGGGUUGCAAGGUUUUACAGAACUUUCCCCAAACGCUUGGAGUCCGCAGUAAUUUUAUUUCAUUCUGAUUAAACUUCAAAGGAGAAAACACCAAGCCACCAGAACAAGCUCAGCUUUUUUCCACUUCAUUUAUUCAAUAAGCAUUCUCGGGGCAUCUGCAACGUGCCUGACAUUGUGCUGAGUGUUGCAGAUACAAAGAUGAAUAAAUACAACUCAGCCCUUGCCCUCGCUGGGUUCAGUGUUUCCAGGACCUCAUCAAGCCACAAACAAAACAUUGUAAUGCCAUGGGAUGACAGUAGAAACACCACCGCACAGCCAUCUUCUGUAGGGUCUUGUGGGAGCAAAGUGGUGGCCCUGGCUGAGCUGACACUUUAAAUGAAACUUAAAGUGACUAAAACUUAAUCAAAAGAGGGCAUGAAGGACAUCCCAGGCAGAAGAGACCACAGGUCCGGCGGUGGGAAAUGGCAUGGCCUCUGGUGUAUGUGCACGUACGUAUCUGAUGCAUGUCCAUGCAUGUGUAUAUGUGUGCAUCCAUGUAUGUGUGCAUCCCUGUGUUUGUGUGUGUGUGAUUGUGUUUCCAGAAUAGGAAAGGGCUGGAGUAGGUAUCAUCAGAAGACUCUACUGCAUGGCGGGGGACAGGCAAGUUAACCUUAAACAAGCUGGCAACAGCCUAUAUUUGCUGUGGGUCUCCAGGAAAGAGAUUCAAAAAUUUGCUUUAGACAACCUAGAAAGAAGAAUAAGACACUCCUACAUGGAAUAUUAAAUUAAAUUUGACUUUAAUGCAUGUUUUGAACACACACCUUUUGGAGGCUCUGCAGACACCAGUGCUGACCCUGGAAAAAGGACCCGAGUUCUCCUGUAGAGGUGACGCGGAGGCACGAUCCAGGGCUGCUCAAGCCCUGAUGUCCACGUGAAUCACUGGAGUUCUUGUCAAGAUGCAGUUUCUGACUCAGUGGCCUGGAUUCUGCAUUUCCAUCCAGCUCCCAGGUGAUGCAAGUGCUGCUGGCCCACGGAGCACACUUUGAGUAGCGAGAUCAAAUGCACUUGUUGCCCGAUGGCCUACCAAUCUAGACCUGCCACAGGGGAUUCACUGCCCUCAGCUCGGCGCAGAGACCUCCAGAGGACCGUGCUCAGAUCCUCUCUGCAACCGGGCACAGGGCCCCAUCCAGCAGGAGUCCAGGCCCUCUGGUCUGAGAGACCACAGACCUAGAAUUGAAGUGCGGAAGUGGGGAGGAAGGAGGCAGAAAUGGUGGGAUGGGGCUGGCACUUGCUCAGAAAAUAGGCCCAGAGUGCGCCUGUGACAGGAAUUAAGUGAGACACCAGGGCCACAAGAAAAGGAAGCAGGAGCUCAGACGAGGGCCCUGGCAGAGCCUCAGUGUCAGGGCAAUGAACACUGACCAUGUGCCAGGGACUGUCUUCAUGUUUUACACAGAUGUCACAUUCAUCUUCACCCAAAGCCCUUGCAAAGCAGGCCGUAAAUCCCUGCUCACAGAUGAAGCACUUGAAGUGCAGAGCAGUUCAGUGAAUCACCCGACCCCCCAGCAGGCACACAGUGGAGCCACAGCUCACACCCAGCUCUGCAGGAUCUGAAAGCCCAGGUCUUCCAGGGACCACACACUGCCUGCUUUAACAAUGGACGAGAUCCAGGCGCUGUGCCUGGGCCUAAGGGGCCCUAGGCUAGGGUCUUUCGAUGUCUGAAUCCAAAAGCAAGUGAUGUCAGCCAUGAGUGUCAGGCCAGGAGGAAGCAGGUCAGGAGAAGUCGGCAUCUGAAGAAGACCUGGUAUCUGGAGCUGGACCACCCUUGGACAAAGGCCCAGCCCUCCUUGUCCUGAAGCAGAUCUGCCUCCAGCCAGGGGUCCAACACGGCCCUCAUGGUCUUGGCAUGUGCAGAGGUAGACAAACUGGUUAGUGGGCAUCUUAAAGCCGUCUUGGAUAGAAAUCUUGGCAGAAAUGGAAUAUGUACCUGAGAAGAAGGAAGACAGACCACUAAAUGGGAAGGACUGUCAUCCGACAAAUUGUCCUGAGCAUAGUGAUCAGUAAUGGGAGCUGCUGUUAUUAUUAUUAUUGCUGUUAUGGGGCGCUGUUUCUGUGCAUUGCUGCAGAGCCAGCCAGCGAUAUACUAGGGACAUUCUCAGGCAUAAUUAGAUAUGAAAUAUUCCCAGCAAACCAAAGUCUAAAGGAGUCCAGCCAGGUAACUAAACAAACCAGCUGAAGCUUCAUGCUGUAUGAGGGAGGGCCAUUCAUCCCCCAACGUUUUGUAGUCACUAAUAUUCAGAUAUCAGGAUGCAGUUUGCACGUGGUCACUGCUUAUGCCCACUGCUUCCUCCUCGUUGGACUAUCACAGUUCAAAAAUUGUAUUUCUAAAUGCCAGGAGCCUUCCUAUAGAAAGAGCCUCAGACUGGAGCUGAAGGACCCACUGUCCUCCUCAUUGACACGCUCUCUUUCUCUUUGCCCUCGAAAUGGAGACGACUGCACCUGUGCUACCUGCCUCAGGACCAAAGUAGAUGCAGUGAGUAGAAGGAGGAAAUUGGUGCAUUGGGGGGUAAAAUUCUGGGUUAACUAACUGCUGCUGAGUCAAGGAGAAAACCCGCACAGAGGACAAGGCCAGGUCCAGGAAAUCUUCAGCUGUGGGAGAAACCCUUCAGCGAACCCCGAAUGCUGCUGUUUGGGUCCUGCUUUCCCACUUCCCAGUCAGCAGAGCCGGACUGACUUGGACAAGGAGAUAGAGGUUACAGUUUCCAACUUUGAGGUCAAACAUCACAUUUCCACAAGUUUCUAGAACUGGUAACUCUGAGCAAAUUACUUAAAUCCACUAAGCUUUUGUUUCCUUUUUAAAUAAUACAAUCAACUCAUAAUGCUUUUGUGAGGAACAAAUGGCAGCAGUAAAGCCUUUAUAAAGAUUAA